GUCGGGAGGCAUCUCUAUCUCGUGGCAACACGAGAGCUUAUGCCCUAUGUAUGGCCUUGGCGUCGUAGUGAAUUCUGCGGCGCUUGCCAACGCCAGAUCACUCUGGUUCAAUGUCGGGGCGCUAAAUCACUUGCAUACGACUUGGUCUCUUGGUCAAGGUGUUGUAUUCAGUAGAGCAGUCUCUUUAUACUGCGAUCUGUUGAGACUAUCCUCUGAUUGAGUUUUUUGUUUAAAAAGAUAGUUAGAGAGUAUUAGGAACGUAUUGUUGCUUGAUACUAAAAGGUUCUUAAAGCGCGCCCUUGUGGCGCGCGCGCGGGGGUCGCAUCUUAAAAAAAACCAUUUUCGCCCGGGCGUUGGCUUUUGUUUGCGUGAACACUCGUAGGCGAGUGUACGUGUAAUACAUGGGCCCACGCGCGACUUCCAAUCAUCAUCUCCACACCCGUGGAUUGAUACAUUUUCCACCACUUUUCCGAACCCCCAGGCCCACCACCACCUCGAUCAGUCACUUUUCGUCGCGGUCCCCACUGCCAGCCCGAAAAAAAAUUUUUUCCACCACUGGCCGUUCUUAGUUGGUGGAGUGAUUUGUCUGGUUUAUUCCGAUAACGAGCGAGACUCUAGCCUGCUAAAUAGUCGACGAAUCUUCGGGUUCGUAUAACUUCUUAGAGGGAUAAGCGGUGUUUAGCCGCACGAGAUUGAGCGAUAACAGGUCUGUGAUGCCCUUAGAUGUCCGGGGCUGCACGCGUGCUACACUGGUGGAGUCAGCGGGUUUUUCCUAUGCCGAAAGGUAUCGGUAAACCGUUGAACUUCUUCCAUGUCCGGGAUAGGGUAUUGUAAUUAUUACCCUUAAACGAGGAAUGCCUAGUAAGUGUGAGUCAUCAGCUCACGUUGAUUACGUCCCUGCCCUUUGUACACACCGCCCGUCGCUAUCCGGGACUGAACUGAUUCGAGAAGAGUGGGGACUGUGGCUGCGAGGUUUUACCACUUCGCAGUUGCGGAAACCAUUUUUAUCGCAUUGGUUUGAACCGGGUAAAAGUCGUAACAAGGUAGCUGUAGGUGAACCUGCAGCUGGAUCAUCG
rfam:Caenorhabditis japonica strain DF5081 Contig8562.1, whole genome shotgun sequence.